rnacentral:rRNA from 1 species
UACAGAGGGUGCAAGCGUUGUUCGGAAUUACUGGGCGUAAAGCGAGUGUAGGCGGCUUAUUAAGUCAGAUGUGAAAUCCCUUGGCUCAACUGAGGAACUGCAUCUGAUACUGGUAGGCUUGAGUGUCGGAGGGGAUGGUAGAAUUCCUGGUGUAGAGGUGAAAUUCGUAGAUAUCAGGAGGAAUACCUGUGGCGAAGGCGACCAUCUGGAAGACAACUGACGCUGAGACUCGAAAGCGUGGGUAGCAAACAGGAUUAGAUACCCUGGUAGUCCACGCUGUAAACGAUGAGUGCUAGAUGUUGUGGGUAUUGACCCCCGCAGUGUCAAAGCUAACGCGUUAAGCACUCCGCCUGGGGAGUACGGUCGCAAGAUUA